CAGGACACGGUAAGGAUUGACGGACUGAAGGCUCUUUCUCGAUUCCGUGGAAAGUGGUGCAUGGCCGUUUUUGGUUGGUGGAUCGAUCCGUCUGGUUAAUUCCGUUAACGAACGAGACCUCGGCACUCCGAAUAGCGCGGCGGACGUCGCGGCCUCCGGGCCGUCUUCCGCACGAGCUUCUUAGAGGGACCGUCCCCCGCCGGGGAAGGAGGUGCGAGGCAACGACAGGUCUGUGAUGCCCUUAGAUGUUCUGGGCCGCACGCGCAUUACACUGACGCGUCCAACGGGUGACUCCCGACCCGAAGGGGCCGGGGAAUCCGCAAGGCGCGUCGUGAUGGGGAUUGAACGUUGCAAUUUUGUUCACGAACGAGGAAUUCCUAGUAGGCGCGGGUCAUCAACCCGCGCCGAUUACGUCCCUGCCCUUUGUACACACCGCC
rnacentral:rRNA from 1 species